rnacentral:rRNA from 1 species
GGAGAGGGUUAUUCGCCCCCACGGGGGAUUGAACCCCCGCCCCAGAUUUCCUAGGGGAGGCCACCAGUAGGGAAUUUUUCGGCAAGGGACGAAAUUUCUGACCGAAGCAACCGCCGCUUGAAUGAAAAAAGUUUUUCGGAUCGUAAAACUUUGGUUGUUAGAGAAGAACAGGGAUGAGAGUAAAACGUUCAUCCCUUGACGGUAUCUAACCAGAAAGCCACGGCUAACUACGUGCCAGCAGCCGCGGUAAUACGUAGGUGGCCAGCGUUGUCCGGAUUUAUUGGGCGUAAAGCGAGCGCAGGCGGUUUCUUAAGUCUGAUGUGAAAGCCCCCGGCUCAACCGGGGAGGGUCAUUGGAAACUGGGAGACUUGAGUGCAGAAGAGGAGAGUGGAAUUCCAUGUGUAGCGGUGAAAUGCGUAGAUAUAUGGAGGAACACCAGUGGCGAAGGCGGCUCUCUGGUCUGUAACUGACGCUGAGGCUCGAAAGCGUGGGGAGCGAACAGGAUUAGAUACCCUGGUAGUCCACGCCGUAAACGAUGAGUGCUAAGUGUUGGAGGGUUUCCGCCCUUCAGUGCUGCAGCAAACGCAUUAAGCACUCCGCCUGGGGAGUACGACCGCAAGGUUGAAACUCAAAGGAAUUGACGGGGGCCCGCACAAGCGGUGGAGCAUGUGGUUUAAUUCGAAGCAACGCGAAGAACCUUACCAGGUCUUGACAUCCUUUGACCACUCUAGAGAUAGAGCUUCCCCUUCGGGGGCAAAGUGACAGGUGGUGCAUGGUUGUCGUCAGCUCGUGUCGUGAGAUGUUGGGUUAAGUCCCGCAACGAGCGCAACCCUUAUUGUUAGUUGCCAUCAUUUAGUUGGGCACUCUAGCGAGACUGCCGGUGACAAACCGGAGGAAGGUGGGGAUGACGUCAAAUCAUCAUGCCCCUUAUGACCUGGGCUACACACGUGCUACAAUGGGAAGUACAACGAGUUGCGAAGUCGCGAGGCUAAGCUAAUCUCUUAAAGCUUCUCUCAGUUCGGAUUGUAGGCUGCAACUCGCCUACAUGAAGCCGGAAUCGCUAGUAAUCGCGGAUCAGCACGCCGCGGUGAAUACGUUCCCGGGCCUUGUACACACCGCCCGUCACACCACGAGAGUUUGUAACACCCGAAGUCGGUGAGGUAACCUUUUGGAGCCAGCCGCCUAAGUGGAAGAAGUGGA